rnacentral:pre_miRNA from 1 species
GAUAAUGGCACCUCCACUUCAACAUGAGGAGGAGCUCAUUCAUUCAAAAAUGAGGUCUGUAUGAGCUCUCCUCAUAUUGAAGUCGGGGUUUCUCAUUAUU